UGCUUUAUAAGAUGAUCAGAUAGAAGAUAUCCAUCAUCGACCAGCUUCUUAAGGUCAGCGAGCUUGGAAGGUCCCUGCUCAACACCAAAUUGGUCAAGGUAAAACCACUUCCCCAUAACAGUAGAGGGCUCAACACUGGGUUUAGGUGCUUCACUGGUGUGAGGUGGUGUGUCACAAAUAUCCAUGUCUUCUUCCAUUGAGACAUCUUCAACAACAACAUCAUUGGGCUGCUCAGGUACUGGUGGUGGUGGCAGGGGAGGAGGCAUGCUAGGUGGUAAAGGCGGAGGUGGAGGUGGAGGAGGAGGCGGCGGCGGCAGUAAUGGAGGUGGUGGUGGCAGCUCAGUAUAUUGAAUGCUCUCGGUUGCCUUUUCCUUCGAGAUCCUCUCCUCGCUCUUUCCGUU
rnacentral:lncRNA from 1 species